rnacentral:rRNA from 1 species
ACACGACUACAUUAGAUACCCGGGUAGUCCAGGGUGUAAACGCUGCGGGCUUGGUGUUGGGGGGUCCUUAGUGGGCGCCCAGUGCCGGAGAGAAGUUGUUAAGCCUGCUGCUUGGGGAGUAUGUCCGCAAGGAUGAAACUUAAAGGAACUGGCGGGGGAGCACCGCAACGGGAGGAGCGUGCGGUUCAAUUGGAUUCAACGCCGGACAACUCACCAGGAGCGACGGUUACAUGAAGGCCAGGCUGAUGACCUUGCCUGAUUUUCCG